UGCAAGUCGAACGGUGAAGCCAAGCUUGCUUGGUGGAUCAGUGGCGAACGGGUGAGUAACACGUGAGCAACCUGCCCUGGACUCUGGGAUAAGCGCUGGAAACGGCGUCUAAUACUGGAUAUGAGCUCUCAUCGCAUGGUGGGGGUUGGAAAGAUUUUUUGGUCUGGGAUGGGCUCGCGGCCUAUCAGCUUGUUGGUGAGGUAAUGGCUCACCAAGGCGUCGACGGGUAGCCGGCCUGAGAGGGUGACCGGCCACACUGGGACUGAGACACGGCCCAGACUCCUACGGGAGGCAGCAGUGGGGAAUAUUGCACAAUGGGCGGAAGCCUGAUGCAGCAACGCCGCGUGAGGGAUGACGGCCUUCGGGUUGUAAACCUCUUUUAGCAAGGAAGAAGCUUUUGUGACGGUACUUGCAGAAAAAGCGCCGGCUAACUACGUGCCAGCAGCCGCGGUAAUACGUAGGGCGCAAGCGUUAUCCGGAAUUAUUGGGCGUAAAGAGCUCGUAGGCGGUUUGUCGCGUCUGCUGUGAAAUCCCGAGGCUCAACCUCGGGCCUGCAGUGGGUACGGGCAGACUAGAGUGCGGUAGGGGAGAUUGGAAUUCCUGGUGUAGCGGUGGAAUGCGCAGAUAUCAGGAGGAACACCGAUGGCGAAGGCAGAUCUCUGGGCCGUAACUGACGCUGAGGAGCGAAAGGGUGGGGAGCAAACAGGCUUAGAUACCCUGGUAGUCCACCCCGUAAACGUUGGGAACUAGUUGUGGGGUCCUUUCCACGGAUUCCGUGACGCAGCUAACGCAUUAAGUUCCCCGCCUGGGGAGUACGGCCGCAAGGCUAAAACUCAAAGGAAUUGACGGGGACCCGCACAAGCGGCGGAGCAUGCGGAUUAAUUCGAUGCAACGCG
rnacentral:rRNA from 1 species